UACAGAGGGUGCAAGCGUUAAUCGGAUUUACUGGGCGUAAAGCGUGCGUAGGCGGUUCAUUAAGUCGGUUGUGAAAUCCCUGGGCUUAACCUGGGAACUGCAGUCGAUACUGGUGGACUAGAGUACGGUAGAGGGUGGCGGAACUCCGGGUGUAGCGGUGAAAUGCGUAGAUAUCCGGAAGAACAUCGAUGGCGAAGGCGGCCAUCUGGACGGAUACUGACGCUGAGACGCGAAAGCGUGGGGAGCAAACAGG
rnacentral:rRNA from 1 species